GACGAACGCUGGCGGCGUGCUUAACACAUGCAAGUCGAACGGAAAGGCCCUGCUUUUGUGGGGUGACCGAGUGGCGAACGGGUGAGUAACACGUGAGUAACCUGCUCUUGAUUUUGGGAUAACUUAAGGAAACUGGGGCUAAUAUAGGAUAGGAGAUGCUGCUGCAUGGUGGGGGUUGGAAAGUCUCGGCGGUUGGGGGUGGACUCGCGGCUUAUCAGCUUGUUGGUGGGGGAGUGGCUUACCAAGGCGUUGACGGGUAGCCGGCCUGAGUGGGUGACUGGCCACAUUGGGACUGAGAGACGGCCCAGACUCCUACGGGAGGCAGCAGUGGGGAAUAUUGCACAAUGCGCGGAGGCCUGAUGCAGCAACGCCGCGUGCGGGAUAGCGGCCUUCGGGUUGUAAACCGCUUGCGCCUGUGACGAAGCGUGAGUGACGGUAAUGGGUAAAGAAGCACCGGCUAACUACGUG
rnacentral:rRNA from 1 species